rnacentral:rRNA from 1 species
UGAAGUGUGGACGCCAGUCUGCAUGGAGCCGACCUUGAAAUACCACCCUUUAAUGUUUGAUGUUCUAACGUGGACCCGUAAUCCGGGUUGCGGACAGUGUCUGGUGGGUAGUUUGACUGGGGCGGUCUCCUCCUAAAGAGUAACGGAGGAGCACGAAGGUUGGCUAAUCCUGGUCGGACAUCAGGAGGUUAGUGCAAUGGCAUAAGCCAGCUUGACUGCGAGCGUGACGGCGCGAGCAGGUGCGAAAGCAGGUCAUAGUGAUCCGGUGGUUCUGAAUGGAAGGGCCAUCGCUCAACGGAUAAAAGGUACUCCGGGGAUAACAGGCUGAUACCGCCCAAGAGUUCAUAUCGACGGCGGUGUUUGGCACCUCGAUGUCGGCUCAUCACAUCCUGGGGCUGAAGUAGGUCCCAAGGGUAUGGCUGUUCGCCAUUUAAAGUGGUACGCGAGCUGGGUUUAGAACGUCGUGAGACAGUUCGGUCCCUAUCUGCCGUGGGCGCUGGAGAACUGAGGGGGGCUGCUCCUAGUACGAGAGGACCGGAGUGGACGCAUCACUGGUGUUCGGGUUGUCAUGCCAAUGGCACUGCCCGGUAGCUAAAUGCGGAAGAGAUAAGUGCUGAAAGCAUCUAAGCACGAAACUUGCCCCGAGAUGAGUUCUCCCUGAGACUUAGAGUCUCCUGAAGGAACGUUGAAGACGACGACGUUGAUAGGCCGGGUGUGUAAGCGCAGCGAUGCGUUGAGCUAACCGGUACUAAUGAACCGUGAGGCUUAACCUUACAACGCCGAAG